rnacentral:ncRNA from 3 species
AGGCAGUGUCAUUAGCUGAUUGU